AUACUCACUUUGACAGCACAUACACUAAAAUUGAACCAUACAGAGAAGAUUAGCAUGGCUCCACCACAGGAAUGACAUGCAAAUUGGCAAAACAUUCCAUAUCUAA